rnacentral:rRNA from 1 species
CACGUAGGGCGCGAGCGUUGUCCGGAAUUAUUGGGCGUAAAGAGCUCGUAGGCGGCCUGUUGCGUCCGCUGUGAAAGCCCGGGGCUUAACCCCGGGUCGGCAGUGGAUACGGGCAGGCUAGAGGUAGGUAGGGGAGAAUGGAAUUCCCGGUGUAGCGGUGAAAUGCGCAGAUAUCGGGAGGAACACCGGUGGCGAAGGCGGGUUCUCUGGGCCUUACCUGACGCUGAGGAGCGAAAGCGUGGGGAGCGAACAGG